UACGUAGGGCGCAAGCGUUGUCCGGAAUUAUUGGGCGUAAAGAGCUCGUAGGCGGCUUGUCACGUCGGGUGUGAAAGCCCGGGGCUUAACCCCGGGUCGGCAUUCGAUACGGGCAGGCUAGAGUGUGGUAGGGGAGAUCGGAAUUCCUGGUGUAGCGGUGAAAUGCGCAGAUAUCAGGAGGAACACCGGUGGCGAAGGCGGAUCUCUGGGCCAUUACUGACGCUGAGGAGCGAAAGCGUGGGGAGCGAACAGG
rnacentral:rRNA from 1 species